UAGGGAAUCUUCGGCAAUGGGGGCAACCCUGACCGAGCAACGCCGCGUGAGUGAAGAAGGUUUUCGGAUCGUAAAGCUCUGUUGUAAGAGAAGAACGUGUGUGAGAGUGGAAAGUUCACACAGUGACGGUAACUUACCAGAAAGGGACGGCUAACUACGUGCCAGCAGCCGCGGUAAUACGUAGGUCCCGAGCGUUGUCCGGAUUUAUUGGGCGUAAAGCGAGCGCAGGCGGUUUAAUAAGUCUGAAGUUAAAGGCAGUGGCUUAACCAUUGUUCGCUUUGGAAACUGUUAAACUUGAGUGCAGAAGGGGAGAGUGGAAUUCCAUGUGUAGCGGUGAAAUGCGUAGAUAUAUGGAGGAACACCGGUGGCGAAAGCGGCUCUCUGGUCUGUAACUGACGCUGAGGCUCGAAAGCGUGGGGAGCA
rnacentral:rRNA from 1 species